rnacentral:rRNA from 1 species
UACAUAGGUAGCGAGCGUUAUCCGGAAUAACUGGGCGUAAAGGGAGUGUAGGUGGCGAUGUAAGUCUUGUGUGAAAGCCCAUGGCUCAACUGUGGGAUUGCACAAGAAACUGUGUUGCUAGAGUAAGAGAGAGGCAAAUGGAAUUCCUAGUGUAGCGGUAGAAUGCGUAGAGAUUAGGAGGAACACCAGAGGCGAAGGCGAUUUGCUGGCUCGCAGCUGACACUGAGACUCGAAAGCGUGGGGAGCAAAC